UUUCGUACUACUAAUAUAAUACUAUAUAUAGUAUAAUACUAUAUAUACAUACUCUCUCCAGGUAAAUAUCAUGCUACUCACCUGUGAUGUAACGUUGAAUGUUGUCAAGUGACCUAGUGUUGUCCUGUGGCAGGUGCUGGUGGGAUGGUGGCUGGUAUUUUGCUUCGUGAUCAGCUCAGCGUUCAGGUCCUCACUGGUCGCCCAUCUGACGGUGCAGGGAAAGACCAAGACCAUAGAGAACUUCAAGGAUUUGAUAGAGAAGAAGCACUGGGAGUGGGGCAUCGAGGCGUGGAUGAUGAGUGGCCAACCUUGUAUAUACUUCUCCCAGCACCCCGAUCCCAUCGUCAGGACCAUUUAUGCUAAAAUGGAGGUUAUACGUACUUAGUAUAAGUGGUACUGAUAUGCAAUAAGAGAUUACUUCUCUAUAAAAAUUUCACUGCAAACUUUACUGUUAUAUACAGAUCACCUAGAAAGGUCCCAUCUAUCUCAAUUAUCUCAUCUCUGCCAGUUAUAUGUUAAAUAACAUAUAGUAUAUAUAGUAUAAUACACUAUAUAUCAUGCUACUCACCUGUGAUGUAACGUUGAAUGUGUAGUUAAAUGUUCAUUUAUAACGUUCUAGGAUAGACUAAAUUCUCGUUCAGAUCGUAUUUCCAAAUUGAAAGUUUCUUGUGAAGAGGAAAAUUAAGAUUUGUCGCUUUAUAUUUGUAAAUUAUAUUUAAAAUAAAUAUCGAUAUAUGUCUAAUAACAGUUUUAGCUUUUUCUUUUUAUAUUGGCAGUUUGGAGGGAUAUGUUGUGUAUCUUUAUAUGUGUAUGCUUCUAGACUGUUGUAUUCUGAGCACCUCUGCAAAAACAGUGAUAAUGUGCGAGUGUGGUGAAAGUGUUGAAUGAUGAUGAAAGUAUUUUCUUUUUGGGGAUUUUCUUUCUUUUUUUUGGGGUCACCCUGCCUCGGUGGGAAACGGCCGACUUGUUGAAAAAAAAAAAAAGUUAAAUUUACUCCAGACCUAACAAAGGUAGCAGAAGAGCCGCUCACUAUAAUGUAUAUUAACCUGACUUUUUUUCGAACCUCGCACCACCCAGAUAUUACAACACUGCUUACUGUACUUUAUGACAGUUUACCUCCCUGGAUAAAGCGCUGCCGAAGGUGCUAGCUGGCCACUACUCUCACAUAGCAUUCAGGAACUUCAUCAGCGUCACCAUUGCGGCUAACUACACCGACGCAUACGGCCAGACCCCGUUAUACACUAGCAAAGAAGGUCAAAACAUAAUGGCUUCUUUCGGUUUUAGCUUCAGGAAGGGCGCACCAUUCCAGGCUCGAUUCCGGCAGGUCAUUGGCCGCCUGGUGAAUGCGGGUAUCUUGGAGAAGUGGACGCAGGAGGUGAUGGCCAAUAGGGUGAGGGAGAUGAGAGCUGCUGCUGGCAAGACUGCUGCAUACACACAGCCGAUGACGGAGGAUGAGGUGGUACUGGGGUUAAUCCACCUGCAGGGUGCCUUCUACAUGCUCCUGCUGGGUUGUAUCCUAGCUCUCCCUAUUUUCCUGGUGGAGUACCUAACACACUCCCGCUCCAACACUACCCUGAUGCCACCUUAGAGGACUACCUAACUCACACAUAAAUGAAGCGCCUGACUAUUUAUGUCGAUAUCACCUUAAGAGUACCUGACUCAUGGUACUGAUGUCACAUUAAGAAACACCUGACUCACAACACUCUUCUGCUAUGGCCUAUAAGGGUUACCUGACUCUUAUCCUCUGAUGUCACCUUAGAGGACAACUUGCCCUAGACUCAUCACUCGCCAGCAGACAGUAUUCACCUAAUUGUUCUAAAAUACAUUAUGUUGAAUAUAAAUCUUCCACUCCUAUUCAGAGGUUCUUGUAAAAUUCAGAUCAGAAAGCUUUUCUCAAGAACUGGCCCUGGCGACGGUCACACAAUUUUCUUUUAUUCAGUUUUAGGUAAUGAUUUAUUUAUCUUCAGAAUUUGAUUUACCACACUGUGUGGCUAUCCUGAUGUAUAAGAUAUUUUACAAGAAUAGAGCAAGAACUAUUUUUGAGGUUUCUUAGUAAACAUAACCUAAUGUAAUCUUGCCUAGCCUUAGCGUACCCUAGACUUGCUUUGCCUAAAAUAACCUAACCUAGCCUAGCUUAGCCUAACCUAGCCUAGUUAAUCUAACCUAGCCUAGUUAAUCUAACCUAGUCUAACCUCACCUACGUACCUGAUCUAUGCCUUUUAGGGUUGGCGGUGAGGUUCAGUAAUUUGUAACCUAACCUUUACGAAAAAAAUAAUUCGAGAAAGUCUUGAUUCAAAGAGCUUGCAGUCCGAUAAUUUUGUUUUAUUUGAAUAACUGGUUGUUGGAAAAAAUAAUAGAAAUUUUGGUUUUCAAACAACUUGCCGGUUCCUUAUAAGCUUAGUCAUAAAGCUUAAACAUUGCUUAAUAUGAUUACAACAAAAUUCCAGUAGCGUAUAAUCAGGCUACACUAAUAUGCGAGAUGUAUACAACAAUCUUGACGUUUAAUAUUGUUAAUUAAGGGAAUAUUAAAACAUUACGUUUUUACAUUGCUUAUUUAGGAUAUAUUAAAAUAUUACGGUUUACAUUAUUAAGUAUGAUUUAAUAAGUUCUUUAUUUAUUAUCUAGUCUGUGUAUUUAUGUGUGCAAGUGCAGGAUGUGUUUGUCUUAAUCUUCAUGAUUUAAAUCAGUCUUUAUGUAUUAUAUCGUUUGUAUAUUAGUGUGCAAGUAUGUGUUUGUCUUGAUCUUAAUUUAAUUAAAACUAUGUAUUAUUUCGUCUCUGUAUUGUGGAAAUUUUUUUACAUAAUUUUCCUAAAGGUAGGACAUGUAAAUAAAUAAUAUAAUAAUUGCGUAUUAAAAUGUUAUGCUAUUUGGACCCUUCGAGAAAUUUUAAGCGAAGGGGGAUGUGGGGUAGCUGGAGAGUGACACGGAAACGUAGACGCCAUAUUGAAACUAAAUGUGUGAGUUCUGGUCCUUGAAUAGUGCAACGUAAUCAGGCUUCAUCGAAAUUCGGUGAGUGUAUAUCGGUCUCAAACCGUAAUUUAGAAAUUACUGACACGUUCCCACUGAAGUAAUGGGAUAAAUAGUGUGGAAAACAUUUACAUUUCGGCAACAAGAACGGGAAAAUAGAGGACACCGAUUCUUCCUAGGAGCACACCUUAGCUAAGUGACCUUCCCAUAAUGUACAGUAGUUUUGCGUUGGCCAUCGUGAAUUCCAGCUGUAGUGGUAGCGUUAGGGUGUGUUGCAUAAAUAGAAUAAUUGUGGUCCAGUAAUUAAAUGGUGAGUGCUCAUUAUAUAUGUAUAUAUAUUUGGAAAAUGUUGUAUACUGAACAGAUCCCCCCCCCCCAUCCUUUCUUUUCAAGUCACAAACCAUCAUAUAGUCCACUCAGUAUCUUGUAAUUUUCCAGCAUUGUUGGUAUUACUUUUGUUGUAAUAUUUGAUAGGCCCGGCUUUGUUUAUGGGUGGGAAAGGGUGUGUGUGGGUCUUGGAGGAGAGGCAUGGUGCAGCCUAGUGUCUAAACUCCCACUUGGCUCAGAGGUACAACUAACAUGGGAAGUACAAUAAUUUGUUCCUUAGUUGUGCCCCACUCAAAUUAUGUGGAUAAAAUAUUUCAGGAAUAUACCUGUGAACCUCGUCCGCGUAAUUUCCCACAUUAUUAUAAGUGUACAAGCAUUUGUUUCUCUUUGCACCUCAUGAUUUGAUAAAUUCUUUGCGGAGCAUCUCGUCUGUGUAUGAAGUGUAUACGUAUGUCUCUUUAGUUCUCCCAUUUCUAAAUGUAAUUAUUUGUGACUCGACCUGGCUUUCCCUCUAGCUGUAUUCAUCAAGCUAGCCAGUAUCGAUUGUAAUAAGCCCCUACUGUUGUCCCAAUGCCAACUGAGGUAUAAAGGAACAUUGUAUCAUAUAACUAUUCCUGACAACACAAACUGAAAUUUUAGUCUCGUGAGUUGAACGACGUGAGGAGGAAGGGAUCAUAUUGCGUCCCCUGGGUGUGAGGUAAGUGCUUUACCACAGUACCACUACACACAAUCUGACCUUAAUUUUUAAAGGUGUGGGCCGGUAAGCCAGCGAAAAGCCGCGGUCACAUGAUCAAAUGCUCCAGUGGUGGGUCAUCACAUGACAAACCCUCAUCAGGAUACACUUGUCCUGUUUUCUGACGAAUCUUACCAAAUCUAACUAUAUCACUAGCAUUUAAAUAAUUUGAACUGAAGAGUCCCCCCUCCCUUAUUCGAAUUGUUACACUCACUAUAGUUUGUAUUUCUAAACUGAGAACCUUUUAUGUUUGUCACUCAGAAAUAUCUAUGAUUUCCGUUUAUUUUCAUCAUCAGUCACUGAUUACAGACUGAAAUUUAUGUCUGCAAGGCCUAGUUAAGAUUUUCUGCAUCUGAACUAUCGAUAUCUGAAGGCCGAGAGUUCGUCUUCGCCUCCACUGCAUAAAGAAUAGUCACAAUACCGUGGCUGGAGCAAUGCACAAAUAACCCGCCCUUAAGAAACUGAAACUUAGGACGACGUUUCAAUCGGACUUGCACCAUUAACUCCAGCCGUCUGGAACAUUAACUACAAAGUUUCUGUAACUAAUAAACCCAUGAUGUAAUGUUAUAUAUGAUAUCCUCAUCACUUUACUAGUCUCCCAGCUCAGGCUGACACAUUUCAAUACCUUGUGUAUUCAACCUAUCCUGCUUGAUGGAAUUUAAAAGGGAAAUAGCCAGCUUUUGUUCUCGUAAUACACCUGAUAUUAUAGAUACAUCAGCAGCACUGUGCUGAUGUAUCCAUUUUUUUAAAUAAACAAAACAAUGGAUGUCGCUCCUUUCGAAAUAUGACAGUGAUUAAAUAUGGAAGUAUAUUUUUUAAUCAUGGGGAAACUCUGGAAGCGUUAAGGGGCACGUAAGUUCCCCCGUCUUCUAAUAACAUGUUCAUUUUUCCACUAUAAUCUACCUUGUCCAUAAAUACUAACGCAUUUGCUUUGUCUGUUUCGUAAGGUGAAGUCCAGAAUCUUUCCUUAAAUCAUGGUAUAACUUAACAAAUCUUUGAGGAUAAGUGUGUUGCAGAGGUUUGAGCGAAGGUCAGGCCUCAGCAGCACAAUAUCAUCAGUAUCAACCUGUGGCCUCGCUAAUGUGACCAAAAGCUUCACUUGGUUAGCGGGUCAACACUUUUCCUGUUUUCUGACAAAUACAGUACCACACUUCUCGGUAUUGUAUACCAUUCUUAUAUUGACAAAAAUAAUAUAGAAGAAUAAGGUAAACAACAGGCUCAACCAGUGAAGUCUCAUAUGAAGGUAAAGUAAAUGAAAAGCCACUCAAAAUAUUGGCUUAAUGAUUACUUGGGAGUUCCACUCAAAUGCAUUUCUUUCCGAUCCAUUAUUUUUCUAUAUCCGUUCUGAAUCGCAUCUAUUGGCCAAUGCUAGACAGUUACUUAUCACGUACACCUCACUCAUAUAUUUGUUCAAAGGUCUGUUUUUAAACCUCUCUUGAUAGUAUUUCUUUUAAUUCCUUAUUUGCCAUAUUCUUUCUUUUGAAGACUAAUCGUAUUUGCCCUAUCCCCUUAUUCUACGUUUUUAUAUUUUUGAUAAAAUACACCAAUAACCCUCACCGGCCUUUGCCUUAUUAUUCUGAAUAUUUUUGGUAAGUUCACUGUUCCUAAUCUAUAUUAUCAUAAAAGAUUUUCUGAUAUCGAAGUUAAUGUUACGUAGGAGUAGACUUUCUCUCCAGCUCCUACGGAACUCUCCAACUCCAAACACCCAAAAAGUUAAUGUUCUAUAUUCUCUGUGUGUUUUUCAGGACACUUAUGAUUAUGUAAUAGAGAGACCAAAACUGUGCCACAAAUCUAAUUUGUAACAUUUAGUAUGCUGGUACC